CGAUUUCCUCGAGAACACGACUCUUUGCUUCCUUAUUCACAACUCCGGGAAACACGCAGUAUUCCACAGCGUUCAACAUUAUUCCCCGAUUGGAUUUCGUCGUUGGUUGCUUAUACAAUCUUGGACCUAAAACAGAAGUCGAGCUCAAAUCGCUGGAUCCGUCGUCGAAACGUCGCUUCGUCAUCAUGCCAGGCAGACUGCCGGGACCCGAGGGUGACGUAAGGUGUCGCAUUGGUCCCAUUCCGGGCGAGGGUGCUCUUCGUGGUGGGGUUGCGCGUCCCAGCCCGCUGUCGGUGUCACCGUAGCGAUACGCGUAGCUGUCCUGAUCGGUACUCGAUCCUAGACACAGAAAAAUCAAUCAGAAUCCUCGCUCGCACGCGUACCCAACCAACUAUAGCCCAGGUUACUUAUUAAUUCAUUAACAAAUUAAAUACCUACACCAAUUCAUUAACAACUGGAUUAUUAUAAACUUGAAAAUCGAAUUGAAAUAUUGUGAAAAGUUCAGCAUUAAUAUAAUGAAACGCACUAGGACUCUAGGAGUAUCCGUUCUAUGCGACUAACUGUAUUAAUAUUUUGUGAAUUAUUCCACUGAGUGUGAGUGAAAUUGUUAUCGAGACCCUACUGACCAUAAAUAAACGCAUGUUAUUUCAAGAUUA